GGAGGAAGGUCCUUGGAUUGUAAACCUCUUUUAUCAGGGAAGAAGUUCUGACGGUACCUGAUGAAUAAGCAUCGGCUAACUCCGUGCCAGCAGCCGCGGUAAUACGGAGGAUGCAAGCGUUAUCCGGAAUUAUUGGGCGUAAAGCGUCCGUAGGUGGUUUUUCAAGUCUGCUGUUAAAGAAUGGAGCUUAACUCCAUAGGAGCGGUGGAAACUGAGAGACUAGAGUACAGUAGGGGUAGCAGGAAUUCCCAGUGUAGCGGUGAAAUGCGUAGAUAUUGGGAAGAACAUCGGUGGCGAAAGCGUGCUACUGGGCUGAAACUGACACUGAGGGACGAAAGCUAGGGUAGCGAAAGGGAUUAGAUACCCCUGUAGUCCUAGCCGUAAACGAUGGAUACUAGGCGUGGCUUGUAUCGACCCGAGCCGUGCCGAAGCUAACGCGUUAAGUAUCCCGCCUGGGGAGUACGCACGCAAGUGUGAAACUCAAAGGAAUUGACGGGGGCCCGCACAAGCGGUGGAGUAUGUGGUUUAAUUCGAUGCAACGCGAAGAACCUUACCAAGGCUUGACAUCCCUGGAAUCCUGCGGAAACGUGGGAGUGCCUUAGGGAGCCAGGAGACAGGUGGUGCAUGGCUGUCGUCAGCUCGUGUCGUGAGAUGUUGGGUUAAGUCCCGCAACGAGCGCAACCCUCGUUUUUAGUUGCCAUCAUUAAGUUGGGCACUCUAGAGAGACUGCCGGUGACAAACCGGAGGAAGGUGGGGAUGACGUCAAGUCAUCAUGCCCCUUACGCCUUGGGCUACACACGUACUACAAUGGUCGGGACAACGGGCAGCGAGCUCGCGAGAGUAAGCGAAUCCCAUCAAACCCGGCCUCAGUUCAGAUUGCAGGCUGCAACUCGCCUGCAUGAAGGAGGAAUCGCUAGUAAUCGCAGGUCAGAAUACUGCGGUGAAUUCGUUCCCGGGCCUUGUACACACCGCCCGUCACACCAUGGGAGCUGGUCACGCCCGAAGUCGUU
rnacentral:rRNA from 1 species